rnacentral:sRNA from 2 species
GUGUUAACCAAUACCCUGCGGCUGCAUUAAUUAUUCAAAUCAUAGCGGCCGCAAUGAUUUCCCUGGUGUUGGCGCAGUAUUUCGCGCACCCCGGCCUCGGC